rnacentral:rRNA from 1 species
GGUGACAGCCCCGUACACAAAAAUGCACAUACUGUGAGCUCGAUGAGUAGGGCGGGACACGUGGUAUCCUGUCUGAAUAUGGGGGGACCAUCCUCCAAGGCUAAAUACUCCUGACUGACCGAUAGUGAACCAGUACCGUGAGGGAAAGGCGAAAAGAACCCCGGCGAGGGGAGUGAAAAAGAACCUGAAACCGUGUACGUACAAGCAGUGGGAGCACGCUUAGGCGUGUGACUGCGUACCUUUUGUAUAAUGGGUCAGCGACUUAUAUUCUGUAGCAAGGUUAACCGAAUAGGGGAGCCGAAGGGAAACCGAGUCUUAACUGGGCGUUAAGUUGCAGGGUAUAGACCCGAAACCCGGUGAUCUAGCCAUGGGCAGGUUGAAGGUUGGGUAACACUAACUGGAGGACCGAACCGACUAAUGUUGAAAAAUUAGCGGAUGACUUGUGGCUGGGGGUGAAAGGCCAAUCAAACCGGGAGAUAGCUGGUUCUCCCCGAAAGCUAUUUAGGUAGCGCCUCGUGAAUUCAUCUCCGGGGGUAGAGCACUGUUUCGGCAAGGGGGUCAUCCCGACUUACCAACCCGAUGCAAACUGCGAAUACCGGAGAAUGUUAUCACGGGAGACACACGGCGGGUGCUAACGUCCGUCGUGAAGAGGGAAACAACCCAGACCGCCAGCUAAGGUCCCAAAGUCAUGGUUAAGUGGGAAACGAUGUGGGAAGGCCCAGACAGCCAGGAUGUUGGCUUAGAAGCAGCCAUCAUUUAAAGAAAGCGUAAUAGCUCACUGGUCGAGUCGGCCUGCGCGGAAGAUGUAACGGGGCUAAACCAUGCACCGAAGCUGCGGCAGCGACGCUGAUGCGUUGUUGGGUAGGGGAGCGUUCUGUAAGCCUGUGAAGGUGUGCUGUGAGGCAUGCUGGAGGUAUCAGAAGUGCGAAUGCUGACAUAAGUAACGAUAAAGCGGGUGAAAAGCCCGCUCGCCGGAAGACCAAGGGUUCCUGUCCAACGUUAAUCGGGGCAGGGUGAGUCGACCCCUAAGGCGAGGCCGAAAGGCGUAGUCGAUGGGAAACAGGUUAAUAUUCCUGUACUUGGUGUUACUGCGAAGGGGGGACGGAGAAGGCUAUGUUGGCCGGGCGACGGUUGUCCCGGUUUAAGCGUGUAGGCUGGUUUUCCAGGCAAAUCCGGAAAAUCAAGGCUGAGGCGUGAUGACGAGGCACUACGGUGCUGAAGCAACAAAUGCCCUGCUUCCAGGAAAAGCCUCUAAGCAUCAGGUAACAUCAAAUCGUACCCCAAACCGACACAGGUGGUCAGGUAGAGAAUACCAAGGCGCUUGAGAGAACUCGGGUGAAGGAACUAGGCAAAAUGGUGCCGUAACUUCGGGAGAAGGCACGCUGAUAUGUAGGUGAAGCGACUUGCUCGUGGAGCUGAAAUCAGUCGAAGAUACCAGCUGGCUGCAACUGUUUAUUAAAAACACAGCACUGUGCAAACACGAAAGUGGACGUAUACGGUGUGACGCCUGCCCGGUGCCGGAAGGUUAAUUGAUGGGGUCAGCGCAAGCGAAGCUCUUGAUCGAAGCCCCGGUAAACGGCGGCCGUAACUAUAACGGUCCUAAGGUAGCGAAAUUCCUUGUCGGGUAAGUUCCGACCUGCACGAAUGGCGUAAUGAUGGCCAGGCUGUCUCCACCCGAGACUCAGUGAAAUUGAACUCGCUGUGAAGAUGCAGUGUACCCGCGGCAAGACGGAAAGACCCCGUGAACCUUUACUAUAGCUUGACACUGAACAUUGAGCCUUGAUGUGUAGGAUAGGUGGGAGGCUUUGAAGUGUGGACGCCAGUCUGCAUGGAGCCGGCCUUGAAAUACCACCCUUUAAUGUUUGAUGUUCUAACGUUGACCCGUGAUCCGGGUUGCGGACAGUGUCUGGUGGGUAGUUUGACUGGGGCGGUCUCCUCCUAAAGAGUAACGGAGGAGCACGAAGGUUGGCUAAUCCUGGUCGGACAUCAGGAGGUUAGUGCAAUGGCAUAAGCCAGCUUGACUGCGAGCGUGACGGCGCGAGCAGGUGCGAAAGCAGGUCAUAGUGAUCCGGUGGUUCUGAAUGGAAGGGCCAUCGCUCAACGGAUAAAAGGUACUCCGGGGAUAACAGGCUGAUACCGCCCAAGAGUUCAUAUCGACGGCGGUGUUUGGCACCUCGAUGUCGGCUCAUCACAUCCUGGGGCUGAAGUAGGUCCCAAGGGUAUGGCUGUUCGCCAUUUAAAGUGGUACGCGAGCUGGGUUUAGAACGUCGUGAGACAGUUCGGUCCCUAUCUGCCGUGGGCGCUGGAGAACUGAGGGGGGCUGCUCCUAGUACGAGAGGACCGGAGUGGACGCAUCACUGGUGUUCGGGUUGUCAUGCCAAUGGCACUGCCCGGUAGCUAAAUGCGGAAGAGAUAAGUGCUGAAAGCAUCUAAGCACGAAACUUGCCCCGAGAUGAGUUCUCCCUGACUCCUUGAGAGUCCUGAAGGAACGUUGAAGACGACGACGUUGAUAGGCCGGGUGUGUAAGCGCAGCGAUGCGUUGAGCUAACCGGUACUAAUGAACCGUGAGG